UACAGAGGGUGCGAGCGUUAAUCGGAAUUACUGGGCGUAAAGAGUGCGUAGGCGGUUUUCUAAGUUUGGUGUGAAAUCUCCCGGCUUAACUGGGAGGGUGCGCCGAAAACUGGAAGGCUUGAGUAUGGGAGAGGUAAGCGGAAUUCCUGGUGUAGCGGUGAAAUGCGUAGAUAUCAGGAGGAACACCUGCGGUGUAGACGGCUUACUGGACCAUAACUGACGCUGAGGCACGAAAGCGUGGGUAGCAAACAGG
rnacentral:rRNA from 1 species